rnacentral:rRNA from 1 species
CGUAGGGUGCGAGCGUUAAUCGGAAUUACUGGGCGUAAAGCGUGCGCAGGCGGUUUUGUAAGACAGAUGUGAAAUCCCCGGGCUCAACCUGGGACCUGCAUUUGUGACUGCAAGGCUAGAGUACGGUAGAGGGGGGAUGGAAUUCCGCGUGUAGCAGUGAAAUGCGUAGAUAUGCGGAGGAACACCGAUGGCGAAGGCAAUCCCCCUGGACCUGUACUGACGCUCAUGCACGAAAGCGUGGGGAGCAAACAGGAUUAGAUACCCUGGUAGUCCACGCCCUAAACGAUGUCAACUGGUUGUUGGGUCUUUACUGACUCAGUAACGAAGCUAACGCGUGAAGUUGACCGCCUGGGGAGUACGGCCGCAAGGUUG